rnacentral:rRNA from 1 species
CCCUGCCAUUUGUACACACCGCCCGUCGCCUCAAUCGACUGGAUGAUCCGGUGAACAACUCGGACUGUCAACAAAUUGGAAACAAUUUGUAUUCGGAAAGUUUUGUAAACCAAAUCAUCUGAAGAAUG